AAGUCGUAACAAGGUUUCCGUAGGUGAACCUGCGGAAGGAUCAUUACCGAGUACGGGUUUCUUUCAACGAGCCCAACCUCCAACCCUUUGUUAAUACCACUUUGUUGCUUUGGCAGGCCCGUCUUUCACCGGACCGCCGGAGGGGUUAAUUCACCUCUGGUCAGUGCUUGCCAGUAGCCAAUUUCAAUUCUUUAUAAUAAUGCAAGUCUGAAUCAUAAUUAUAAAUUUAAUUAAAA
rnacentral:misc_RNA from 1 species